rnacentral:rRNA from 1 species
UGGGGAAUAUUGCACAAUGGGCGCAAGCCUGAUGCAGCCAUGCCGCGUGAGUGAUGAAGGCCCUAGGGUUGUAAAGCUCUUUCAUCGGUGAAGAUAAUGACGGUAGCCGAAGAAGAAGCCCCGGCUAACUCCGUGCCAGCAGCCGCGGUAAUACGGAGGGGGCUAGCGUUGUUCGGAAUUACUGGGCGUAAAGCGCGCGUAGGCGGAUUGAUCAGUUGGGGGUGAAAGCCCGAGGCUCAACCUCGGAACUGCCCUCAAUACUGUCAGUCUAGAGUCCGAGAGAGGUGAGUGGAAUUCCUAGUGUAGAGGUGAAAUUCGUAGAUAUUAGGAAGAACACCAGUGGCGAAGGCGGCUCACUGGCUCGGUACUGACGCUGAGGUGCGAAAGCGUGGGGAGCAAACAGGAUUAGAUACCCCCGUAGUCC